AAAAAAAAAAUUGAAAAUGAUCAUCUCCAUAUAUGAAAGUGACCAAAGAUGAUAAAGUUAGGCAAGUGGGAACUCACCCACAUAAAAUAAAAUGGAAGUUGACUUUGUGGAGUACUUUUUAUUCAUUUCUAUAUUCUAUUAUUCUCCUCUAUAAAUACCCACCAACCAACCUCUAUCUCUACACAAUUCUGCAGUAAAUUUGAUCAUUUUCAACAUGGGUCACAAGGGUUUUCUUCAUCUGAUGAUCAUCUUUUUGGGUUUCUCAUGGCUUCUCUCUUGUGCUGCAGUUCCUUCAUCAAGAAGCUUCCAGUUAAUCAAGGAGGAGCUCUCAGCCCAAGCUGUUUUUCUCUCUCAGAAGGGAAGGGGUUUCUACAAAUUUCCAGAGGUGGAAGAAGGGUACAAAAGGGUGGGGAGGAUUGCCAUGGAGGGCAUAGAUGACUAUGCAGGAACAGGAGCAAACACCCACCAUGACCCAAAGCCUCCAGGGAGAGUUUGAGCCAAGACCUUAAACCAGAGAUGAACUCAAAGAAAAGGAGUUGAUGAUGAUGAUCAUUAUCUUAGUCUGGAAUGUGUUCUACCUAUAUCCAUAUCCACAAUCCAAUAAUUAUGAAUAUACUUCUUUCUUCCUUUCUACAGUGUAUAGUGUAUGAAAUAAAUAUAUAUAUUGAUCUAGCAUGAUUAAGAAAAGAGAGAUGGGGUUCACCCUUUCUUUUUCUUUUUUUUUUUUGUUGGGGGAAUGGUGUAGGUUGAUAUAUAUGGGAUUAAGCUUUUCUAUGAUUAAGAGAGAGAGAGAGAGAGAGAGAGAGAGAGAGAGAGGGUUCACUUUUUUAGUUUUUGUGGGGGUGGGACUGGUGGAGGUUGAUAUAUAUGGGAUUAAGCUUUUGUUGUCCCCUUGUAAUUUAUUAUAUAGUAUUUUAUAUGAUUAAGUUAAUGGUAAUAUUGUAAUUAUCUUUA